AUCUCUGUCAGUGUAUGUGUCUGUUUGUCAGUAUGUCUGCCAGUGUGUGUGUCAGUAUGUCUGUUUGUGUGUGUCUCUCUUGUGUGUCAGUAAGUCUGUCAGUGUAUGUAUCUUGUGUAUGCAUUAAUAUGUCUGUCAGUGUAUGUGUCUGUGGGUAUGUGUUGGUAUGUCUGUCAGUGUAUGUGUCUCUGUGUAUGUCUGUGUGUGUGUAUUAGUAUGUCUGUCAGUGUAUGUAUCUGUGUGUGUG